UACGAAGGGGGCUAGCGUUGCUCGGAAUCACUGGGCGUAAAGCGCACGUAGGCGGCUUUUUAAGUCAGGGGUGAAAUCCUGGAGCUCAACUCCAGAACUGCCUUUGAUACUGGAGAGCUUGAGUCCGGAAGAGGUGAGUGGAACUCCGAGUGUAGAGGUGAAAUUCGUAGAUAUUCGGAAGAACACCAGUGGCAAAGGCGACUUACUGGACACAUAUUGACGCUGAGGUGCGAAAGCGUGGGGAGCAAACAGG
rnacentral:rRNA from 1 species